rnacentral:rRNA from 1 species
AUUGAACGCUGGCGGCAUGCCUUACACAUGCAAGUCGAACGGCAGCACGGGUGCUUGCACCUGGUGGCGAGUGGCGAACGGGUGAGUAAUACAUCGGAACAUGUCCUGUAGUGGGGGAUAGCCCGGCGAAAGCCGGAUUAAUACCGCAUACGAUCUACGGAUGAAAGCGGGGGACCUUCGGGCCUCGCGCUAUAGGGUUGGCCGAUGGCUGAUUAGCUAGUUGGUGGGGUAAAGGCCUACCAAGGCGACGAUCAGUAGCUGGCCUGAGAGGACGACCAGCCACACUGGGACUGAGACACGGCCCAGACUCCUACGGGAGGCAGCAGUGGGGAAUUUUGGACAAUGGGCGAAAGCCUGAUCCAGCAAUGCCGCGUGUGCGAAGAAGGCCUUCGGGUUGUAAAGCACUUUUGUCCGGAAAGAAAUCCUUGGCCCUAAUACGGUCGGGGGAUGACGGUACCGGAAGAAUAAGCACCGGCUAACUACGUG